GAGAGUACAAGCAAUUUGUUGACUCGAAAAGACAAAGUCAUCGGCUAAAAGGAUUUCGAAUGAAAGAGCAAGCCAAAUGAGCAAGAAUGAACGAGUGAGGAGAGUUACAACUUUCCCGGCUACCGAUUUAAAUGAUGUCCAGUAACAACAACAACAGCAGCAACAAGUGGCACUUGCAGCUCUGUUUGCUUAAUGAAACAACAGCGACACACUCACACUCGCACACACAAAGUAACACCAAGCGACUGUGUGAAACACCAACAAAAACACCUUGGGUAAAUAAUGCAGACAGGACGGCCACAGUCGACUUGCUAAAUACCUAUCAAGUUAUGGAAGUUUGCCAAUUGGAAGCAUAUUGCUCCUUGAGCAUAUAUGUGAGUUUUACUGUAAGAAAAGGUCAUAGCUGUGACACACCUGACCUAGAGGGUGUUGGCCUAUUCGUGAUGCUCUAGACUGGCGCAGCUCAUUAAUCCUGGCCGCUACUCCUACCGAUGAUAACGAUCACCAAUUGAGUGGCAAAAGGGAGUGGGAGGAGGAGGAGUAGAAGCAGAAGGAGGGGAGCCAGACAACAGGCGGAUAAAAACGCCUGUCUCCAAGUGGACUCAAGUGCCGCAGAAGGUGGAGGUGGAUGCGGAGAGGGAGUUGAAGUUCGGGUUGGAGGACUCGGAGCUGGAGAGGGGGCAGCGCAGCGAGACACGCAGGCUGCCGGACAACCGGCAGCAUGAGCAUCAGGACAAGCAGAUGAAGCAGCAAAGUCAGAAGCAGAAGCAGAAGCUACUUGAGAGCCACAGAAUUCCGAUUGCGAUGAGGCGAUCGUGUGUCUAUAUGUAUGCAUGCUGGAGAGUCAGGCAUUCCACUCCACUCCACUCCACUGCAGUCCACUCCAUUACCAGUUCGCAGAUUGCCGCAUCCAGCAUACAGCUCCAAGGAGCUGGCAAUCAAAUGGCCAACGUUGGACAAUGACUUUCACGCCUUUCGAGCGCGCCAAAACGAACAUGUCAAGUACAGCCGACCAGCGGGCAUCCCAGAUACCCUACCUCGGUAGCUUUGCAGUUGGGUAUUAGUUUUGCGAACAAUUUUCGAAUAAUCUUGGGACUAUCAGUUUAGUUUUGAGAUUGCCCAAAUUAUCAUUUCCUUCAAGAGUCCGCCUUCGAAAAAGUUAUGUUUGCUAAUUUAGCUUAUCUGUUUUUGUUCUGUGCACUUCUCACAAGAAUGCUGCCCGUUUUCAAUUGCACUUAAGCCUUCAAUCUGCACAUCAACACUCUCGAUCUUUCGAUCAAUCGAGCCAGGUGAUUGAAAGGCCAGGGGAGAUAUUCGUUUCAUUUUGGACAGAAGACCAUCGCCCCAUUGAAAGGGGAAUAAAAUAUGCAAGUGCUUUCGCACUUUAGCGGUUUGGUUAGUUCUUAUCACAAAAUGCGCUAGCGCGAGAUUAACUCUGCACGCCUGGCAAUAUUUUCACAACAAUCACAUCAACUUAGGAUCACAGGUUAGUUUUCAAUUUCGAAUUUGCACACUUUACGUACUCGUUGGCUGGUCGCCGGCUUGAAAAAAACAAACAGUCGUUUUGUUGACAAAAUACAAGAGGGCAAAAACAAAUAGAGCUUGGUUUUUUGGUCCUUUAUGUUCCCGAUUUACAUGAGCCUUCAACUUUGCACGUAUUUCGUUGGCUCGAAAGCUUCUUUUGGGGCUUGUGUCCAACAAACGCGAAAAGAGUCGGUUUUUGACACUUGAAAAUCCCGCUAAGUUUCGAGGUGCGACCGUCGCAGUGCAGCUCCUGAGCUCAUCUGAACAGUCCAACGAAAACCGGCGAACGUUUCGAUCGCAUCGCAGUGAUGCCCGCUCCACGGUCGGAUCGCUCUGCUAAAAAGAGGGGAAGAACACUUGACGCUUAAUUGCCAAAUUCCCCUGAAAUUCAAAUCGAAUGUUAAAUAUUAAUGAAAAGACUGCCAUAAAAUUAGGCGCGUACAAUAUAUUACAAUUAUCUUAGAAAAUUGUUGGUAGAAAGUACGUACUUCCCAUGCAUUCAUUGAACUCUACAAACCAGUUGGCCAUAGUUUAAUAAUACAAAAGGGUUCCGAGUAUUGGUAUUUGGUGAGGACAUCACAUCUAAUGGCGCUUUGUGUUGCACAGAAAAAUAGCCAAAUUGGCAUCACUGUUGCGGUUGCCUCUCUCGAACCUUCAAACAAUUCUCUCAAACCGCUUCAAGCCGCAACCUCGCUCUUAAAAGCAUUAAAUAAUUUAAAUUUAGUAACUGCUUCUUCAAAGGCCAAAUGUUAAUUGUUGACAAAAUGAGUUAAACAAUUAAUUAUUUUUUUUUUGUUUCCCAAAACCUUGUCUGCUACGAAUUAUGGAAUUUUUGGCCAAAACUCAUGUCCAGAUUUUUGGCGAUAUAAAUUCUAUAUAUUAAAAAAUAAAAUAAUUGUCAUUACACUUCACCGUUCAAAAUUUUUUGAAAAACAUAAUCAGUUUGUUUUUGGAUAGCAACAAAGAGAGUUGACAAAUAUUGGAAUGCCAUACCCCGUGAACUCAACCAAAUUCCCCACCUGACAAAUUUUUGUAAUUUUUUUUUGGAAAUUUUGAUAACUUAAACCCUUAUCGAAAGUGCGAACAUUUUUUACAUCGAAUAUCAUUAAAAUAGUUAUAGGGUUUGCUAUGUGUUUAUUGGCCGUACAAAAAGGAAAAACCCUAUUUCGACAAUAUUUUUGUAUUUUUAUUUCUAUUUUGAUGAGUUUUGGGAAACAACGCUUUAUUUUAAAUUCGUAUCCCAUGUUCCUUUCCCCCAAUAAAAAUGCGUUUUGCAGAUAAAGGAAAAAUACAUUGAUUGUGGUAGCUAUUUUCAUUCUUAUGAAUACACACAUAACAUUUAAAUACAAAUACAUUUACAAUUGAAAAUUUUUUCUACAUAUACAAAAUAUUUAAUUUAAAAAUAGGUGAAAAAAAAAAAAACAAGAAUAAAUUGUUGUCCUUAGGUUCGUUAGCUUAGUAAACACAAUUGAUGCGCCAGCGGCAGCGGAAGCAGCA